rnacentral:Y_RNA from 1 species
GGCUGAUCGGAAGGUAGUAAGUUAUCUCACUUGACUGUUCAAGGUCAGUUACUGAUUGAACUCCUUGUUCUACUACUUCCCCCCUCCUCACUACCACAUUAGUCUUUA